AGGGGAGCCGCAGGGAAACCGAGUCUUAACUGGGCGUUAAGUUGCAGGGUAUAGACCCGAAACCCGGUGAUCUAGCCAUGGGCAGGUUGAAGGUUGGGUAACACUAACUGGAGGACCGAACCGACUAAUGUUGAAAAAUUAGCGGAUGACUUGUGGCUGGGGGUGAAAGGCCAAUCAAACCGGGAGAUAGCUGGUUCUCCCCGAAAGCUAUUUAGGUAGCGCCUCGUGAACUCAUCUUCGGGGGUAGAGCACUGUUUCGGCUAGGGGGUCAUCCCGACUUACCAACCCGAUGCAAACUACGAAUACCGAAGAAUGUUAUCACGGGAGACACACGGCGGGUGCUAACGUCCGUCGUGAAGAGGGAAACAACCCAGACCGCCAGCUAAGGUCCCAAAGUCAUGGUUAAGUGGGAAACGAUGUGGGAAGGCACAGACAGCCAGGAUGUUGGCUUAGAAGCAGCCAUCAUUUAAAGAAAGCGUAAUAGCUCACUGGUCGAGUCGGCCUGCGCGGAAGAUGUAACGGGGCUAAACCAUGCACCGAAGCUGCGGCAGCGACACUAGGUGUUGUUGGGUAGGGGAGCGUUCUGUAAGCCUGCGAAGGUGUGCUGUGAGGCAUGCUGGAGGUAUCAGAAGUGCGAAUGCUGACAUAAGUAACGAUAAANACCUGUGAGGGUUGCUGGAGGUAUCAGAAGUGCGAAUGCUGACAUAAGUAACGAUAAAGCGGGUGAAAAGCCCGCUCGCCGGAAGACCAAGGGUUCCUGUCCAACGUUAAUCGGGGCAGGGUGAGUCGACCCCUAAGGCGAGGCCGAAAGGCGUAGUCGAUGGGAAACAGGUUAAUAUUCCUGUACUUGGUGUUACUGCGAAGGGGGGACGGAGAAGGCUAUGUUAGCCGGGCGACGGUUGUCCCGGUUUAAGCAUGUAGGCUGAUUGUCCAGGCAAAUCCGGAUAAUCAAGGCUGAGGUGUGAUGACGAGGCACUACGGUGCUGAAGUAACAAAUGCCCUGCUUCCAGGAAAAGCCUCUAAGCAUCAGGUAACAUCAAAUCGUACCCCAAACCGACACAGGUGGUCAGGUAGAGAAUACCAAGGCGCUUGAGAGAACUCGGGUGAAGGAACUAGGCAAAAUGGUGCCGUAACUUCGGGAGAAGGCACGCUGGUGUGUAGGUGAAGUCCCUGCGGAUGGAGCUGAGACCAGUCGAAGAUACCAGCUGGCUGCAACUGUUUAUUAAAAACACAGCACUGUGCAAACACGAAAGUGGACGUAUACGGUGUGACGCCUGCCCGGUGCCGGAAGGUUAAUUGAUGGGGUUAUCCGUAAGGAGAAGCUCUUGAUCGAAGCCCCGGUAAACGGCGGCCGUAACUAUAACGGUCCUAAGGUAGCGAAAUUCCUUGUCGGGUAAGUUCCGACCUGCACGAAUGGCGUAAUGAUGGCCAGGCUGUCUCCACCCGAGACUCAGUGAAAUUGAACUCGCUGUGAAGAUGCAGUGUACCCGCGGCAAGACGGAAAGACCCCGUGAACCUUUACUAUAGCUUGACACUGAACAUUGAGCCUUGAUGUGUAGGA
rnacentral:rRNA from 1 species